UGACCGUGACGGUACGUGAGUGGUGCGGUAAACCAGUGUGUUGGCGGGCCCCCUGCUUUCGUGCAGCCGACCGUGAGUGCAAUGGGACGCCUCGUUCAAAAUAUCCCCCGGUGUGGGGCUCCGCACGAUGCGGCGGAGGGGCAUAUUCGGUGGCUUGUAUCGCCUAGUCGCAACGCGGCAACUCGGUGACCCUGUGUUAAACAACAUCAUGUCGUUCUACUCGCCCUCGCUCCCCUCGUGCGGGCGAGAAGCGGCCUCUUACGACGUCCCGCACAUCGUCGGCGGCGCUCGCAGCCCUGCUCGUGCGCGUGCUGCCUGCGACGUCCGUCCGUACGGGCCUCGGGACCGUUGUGUGCUUACGGAUGCGGCGAAUCAGAUGGGGUCUGGUCGGGUGGCCCGUGCUGCUCCCGACUUGACGAAUGUAAAGGUGUUUGCGCACGCCGCGAGCGGGCAGACAAACGGACGGAACGGAGAAUAGACGAUCGCCGGCGGGCGUGCGCCGUCCCCUCCCCUCCACGGAGGGAGGGACGGGGCGCGUCGUCCGUAGGUGUCGUCACGAAGGGUUUGCUACCUGGUUGAUC
rnacentral:misc_RNA from 1 species